UACUAAAUCACUAUUACAACUAUUCCUACCCAAAAUAGAUGUCUAUUAAAAUCAACCCCAUCUUUAUAACUCUUUAUCAUUUUUACUAAUAACACAUUUCUACGUAGCUAACACAAUGAUUUUCUUUGAAAUUUAGAAAAUGCAAAAUAGAAUUUCAAGAUUUUACAAGUCUUUUGUUUGGAACCAAAAAAUGGUUUUAAUACCCUGGGAUGACCUAAACCCGGAACUAAUCCUGUCGGUGUGUGAACCAAAAAUUGAGUUCCACUUUGCGUCGUUGACAUAACCAAACCAAAAUCGAGUUGCUUAACAAAAAACAGUGAGACACAACAAAUUUUCUUUCUCCUUCUGCGCUAAAUCAAACCUUAGGCUUCUCAUCGAAUCAAAAGAAAAGUCAAUCAAAUUCGAAUCUAAUUGAUUAAAUACCCAUCGUCUGAUUGAUUUCUCUUUGUUUCUUUAACUCAUUAAAUUCAUAGGAACUUGAAGAGAAGUAAUAACGAUGAAGGAGAUUCAUUUCUGACCAAAUUCGUUUUCAACUCAGUCAUAUCGUUUUUGGUUCUUUAACCAAAUUAUGAUAUUUACGAAAUUCGUGAAUAAAUGGAUCAAAAGAAAACUUUCGUCUGUGAAGGGAGGAACUCCCUUGUUCUACCAAGUGAGGCGUCCACAUCGAAGAAAAAAGACCAUGUCGUAGAAGAUGAUGAAUAUUGCAUUACCAGAAGUGGGGAUGAAAAUACCUACUCUUGGUAACUUGGUAGCAGCUCUAGUGAAGCCGAUGCCGAAGCCAUUAUAAACAAUAGCAGAAAGAAUAAAGGAACAUCUCAGGAGGAAGAUGACUUAGACAAAGUUCUGGCCGAGCACGAUAAUCUCCUAUUGUUUCAAAACUUACUGCUUCUCCGAAAGAAGAAAAGGUUCAAGAUCAACCUGAACAGUUAGGCUCGGUUGAUGCUACUGGAGGGGAGAAGGAAGCGGAGGCAGAUACAGGGAAGUCUGCGGCAGCAAAGAAGAACAAAAAGGAGAAGGAGAAAAAGGAAGCUGCUGCAGCUGUAGUGGGAGUUCAGGAUACAACGCAGGAGGAAACAAAGAGUCAAAAACGUGAUGACAAGCACCCGAUAAAUGUUAUAAAUAUGUAGGAGGCUUUGCAAAGGCCUAAAGAACUUGAAGAGAGAAUGAGGAGGGAAGAGGAAGAGAAAGAAGGAGGAAGAAAGGCACCUCAGGCAAGAGGAACUCGAAAAACAAGCAUAAAAAGCCAAGCGAAGGAAAAAGAAAAAGAGAGGAUGCUGAUGAGAAAGAAGGAAGGGAAGCCUAUAAAAAGGAAGCAGAAAAAUGAAGCUCGUCGGCUUGAACUAAAUUGAACUGGGUAUAAGAAACAAGGAGCAACAUUCAAGUCUAAUGGCAAUACAAACAUUACACCAAACCAAAUGAGGGAAUUUAAGGUUGUUAGAUUUUGCUUUUGUUUUUUCUUUUUAUGGUUUCAAAUCCAGUGGAUUACUUUCCUGACUAAGUUUAAACACAUUUUACUUAGUUUUGGCAGGAGUACUGCUUGUUGAAUGGUCUGAACUUUGAUGCAACACCAAAUGGGUAUUCUACCAGUAUAUCACUAGAGGAUAUUCUUCUGUUGGAUCCCCAAACUGCACCUCUGGUUGCACCACUAAAUCUCAGUACGAAGGGCGAAGUGGUUUAUUGUGUUGAUGGUUCCCAUCAGGUCAGCAAUCUUCUGCAGCAAGCUCUCCUUCUCAUGGGCGUCCUGUACCAGUUCUGUAACAAGAGCCACAGUUAACCAAAGCUCAUCUUGUUUAUGAAAUGCAUGGAUGAAACUGAAGGGUUGUACCAGCAGUGAUCUUCCCAUUUUGGUUCCUGCUAGUUUUAGUUGAUAGAAACUGCCAGUUCUGUCGUUUCGAAGCGUGACUCAAAAUGGCUGACUUGGCUGAAACAAAUAUUGACGUUUUCGUUUUGAUGUUUUUUUCUUCUUUCUUACUCUAUAAGAAGAAUGGCCUCAACAUAACUUAGUUACUUAUGUGCUUUACUAUGUUCAGUGCGUACUUCUCAAAUUGAUGGGAAGGAGAUAUUCCGCCAAGCUAGGUCUGACUACUACGGGGUUCAGUUCUUAGUCACGAUUUCUAUUGACAAUUUCGAAAGUUUACAACUAUACGAAAUUGUGGAUAUUUGGAACUGCAGGAGUACUUUGUCUUAUGAGCAGUUCAGUGCAUUUCUUUCCAACAUCAAGGAGCUGAACUGUCAAAAUCAAACUCUAGAGGUAAUUACUUACUUCUUUGUGAUUUUUGAAACUCUCGGUAAAAUCUUUUGGUCAUUGAACCGACGUAACUAAGCAAAUUGGUUUGUCUUUUUCCCUGUUAUCCAGGAAACGUUAAGGAAGGCAGAAUAAUUAUUUGGUACAGACAUGAGACAACAAAGAUCAUUACUUAUCACUCCAAGGGCUGCUUAUUCGUAACAACCAUUAGGACUUAAAGGCGUAUUCCAAAGAUGGUGCAUCAUAAUAGAAUUGCGCAAAAGAAGCCAAACUGGCACCUUCUAAUAAUUGAAAAGGUUGGAAAUUUUGGAUACGAAGAGAUUGAAUGGGAGUAAAAGAGAAGUUGUUGCUAGUCACUGGGUACACCAUUUUCUCUAUCAUGUUACAUGAUCUGAUACCAUUAGUUGUUACCCCCAACCGUCCAAGCCGCCAUCUAGUGUAUAUUUGUUGUUUCAUGUAUGUUGUGUAACCUUUACAGUGGAUUACAAGUUUAACUAAAUGGAAGAUGUCCGGUUUUUUCCAAAUUGUGUCAGCAUCCUAAUUUUGUGAAUACUUGCACUGUCACCUGAACCGGAACCUGGCAUUUCAUGUGACCGGAACCUGGAUUUCAGGUGGUCGGAACCUAGCAACUUCAGGUGACCGGAACCUGGCAUUUCCAGGUGACCGGAACCUGGCAUUUCCAGGUGAUCGGAACCUGAAAAUGCGAAUAUUUUUUUUUAAUAAAAUCUAACUAAUUGCUAAUGGAAGGCGUGUUACCUAAUUAUGAAAACACAAGACACAUGUCAUCUCUUUACUAGUCACUUGAACAGUUAUAUAAAAAGUUAGCAAAGGUUAUAACACAAUUUUUACGUUACAAAAUAAAUAGGAAGUGUAAAAUGUCAAUAGUUAGGAUAAAUAUUGUAAUGGAAAUGAAGUGUGGCUUAUUUAAUUUCCCUAAUGGACUAAAAGGGUUGGAUAAAAUACUAACGCACUAUAUAACUGCUUAUGGGUAACCAUUUUUCUUAGUUAGGGAAAUUAGCUUCUAUUUUUUGGUAACACUUUUGUUUCAUAAGGAAAUUCUUGAUUUGGUGUAAUGUUCCCUCUUUGAAUGACAACGCACAACUAGCAAACAAACAACA